AUAAAUCCGUUGAAAAGGGAUAGUAGUCAUGAGACAAUGUUAAAGAGAGCUGAAGAUGGUGAGAUUUCAGUACGGCAGUUAGUGAUGAAUGGGCCUUUGAGGAGCGAUAUGAAAUCUUUUGAGAGUAGUUUAGCCGUAAGUCGCACGUUAUAGCGAAUAAGAUAUGUUAGUAUCUGAAAUGAGAGGCAUUUUGUGCAAUUUAGGUGGCAACGCGGAUAAUCUCCGUCCUAUUU
rnacentral:ncRNA from 1 species